rnacentral:rRNA from 1 species
UGUGAGCUCGAUGAGUAGGGCGGGACACGUGGUAUCCUGUCUGAAUAUGGGGGGACCAUCCUCCAAGGCUAAAUACUCCUGACUGACCGAUAGUGAACCAGUACCGUGAGGGAAAGGCGAAAAGAACCCCGGCGAGGGGAGUGAAAAAGAACCUGAAACCGUGUACGUACAAGCAGUGGGAGCACGCUUAGGCGUGUGACUGCGUACCUUUUGUAUAAUGGGUCAGCGACUUAUAUUCUGUAGCAAGGUUAACCGAAUAGGGGAGCCGAAGGGAAACCGAGUCUUAACUGGGCGUUAAGUUGCAGGGUAUAGACCCGAAACCCGGUGAUCUAGCCAUGGGCAGGUUGAAGGUUGGGUAACACUAACUGGAGGACCGAACCGACUAAUGUUGAAAAAUUAGCGGAUGACUUGUGGCUGGGGGUGAAAGGCCAAUCAAACCGGGAGAUAGCUGGUUCUCCCCGAAAGCUAUUUAGGUAGCGCCUCGUGAAUUCAUCUCCGGGGGUAGAGCACUGUUUCGGCAAGGGGGUCAUCCCGACUUACCAACCCGAUGCAAACUGCGAAUACCGGAGAAUGUUAUCACGGGAGACACACGGCGGGUGCUAACGUCCGUCGUGAAGAGGGAAACAACCCAGACCGCCAGCUAAGGUCCCAAAGUCAUGGUUAAGUGGGAAACGAUGUGGGAAGGCCCAGACAGCCAGGAUGUUGGCUUAGAAGCAGCCAUCAUUUAAAGAAAGCGUAAUAGCUCACUGGUCGAGUCGGCCUGCGCGGAAGAUGUAACGGGGCUAAACCAUGCACCGAAGCUGCGGCAGCGACGCUNAUGCGUUGUUGGGUAGGGGAGCGUUCUGUAAGCCUGCGAAGGUGUGCUGUGAGGCAUGCUGGAGGUAUCAGAAGUGCGAAUGCUGACAUAAGUAACGAUAAAGCGGGUGAAAAGCCCGCUCGCCGGAAGACCAAGGGUUCCUGUCCAACGUUAAUCGGGGCAGGGUGAGUCGACCCCUAAGGCGAGGCCGAAAGGCGUAGUCGAUGGGAAACAGGUUAAUAUUCCUGUACUUGGUGUUACUGCGAAGGGGGGACGGAGAAGGCUAUGUUGGCCGGGCGACGGUUGUCCCGGUUUAAGCGUGUAGGCUGGUUUUCCAGGCAAAUCCGGAAAAUCAAGGCUGAGGCGUGAUGACGAGGCACUACGGUGCUGAAGCAACAAAUGCCCUGCUUCCAGGAAAAGCCUCUAAGCAUCAGGUAACAUCAAAUCGUACCCCAAACCGACACAGGUGGUCAGGUAGAGAAUACCAAGGCGCUUGAGAGAACUCGGGUGAAGGAACUAGGCAAAAUGGUGCCGUAACUUCGGGAGAAGGCACGCUGAUAUGUAGGUGAAGUCCCUCGCGGAUGGAGCUGAAAUCAGUCGAAGAUACCAGCUGGCUGCAACUGUUUAUUAAAAACACAGCACUGUGCAAACACGAAAGUGGACGUAUACGGUGUGACGCCUGCCCGGUGCCGGAAGGUUAAUUGAUGGGGUUAGCGCAAGCGAAGCUCUUGAUCGAAGCCCCGGUAAACGGCGGCCGUAACUAUAACGGUCCUAAGGUAGCGAAAUUCCUUGUCGGGUAAGUUCCGACCUGCACGAAUGGCGUAAUGAUGGCCAGGCUGUCUCCACCCGAGACUCAGUGAAAUUGAACUCGCUGUGAAGAUGCAGUGUACCCGCGGCAAGACGGAAAGACCCCGUGAACCUUUACUAUAGCUUGACACUGAACAUUGAGCCUUGAUGUGUAGGAUAGGUGGGAGGCUUUGAAGUGUGGACGCCAGUCUGCAUGGAGCCGNCCUUGAAAUACCACCCUUUAAUGUUUGAUGUUCUAACGUUGACCCGUAAUCCGGGUUGCGGACAGUGUCUGGUGGGUAGUUUGACUGGGGCGGUCUCCUCCUAAAGAGUAACGGAGGAGCACGAAGGUUGGCUAAUCCUGGUCGGACAUCAGGAGGUUAGUGCAAUGGCAUAAGCCAGCUUGACUGCGAGCGUGACGGCGCGAGCAGGUGCGAAAGCAGGUCAUAGUGAUCCGGUGGUUCUGAAUGGAAGGGCCAUCGCUCAACGGAUAAAAGGUACUCCGGGGAUAACAGGCUGAUACCGCCCAAGAGUUCAUAUCGACGGCGGUGUUUGGCACCUCGAUGUCGGCUCAUCACAUCCUGGGGCUGAAGUAGGUCCCAAGGGUAUGGCUGUUCGCCAUUUAAAGUGGUACGCGAGCUGGGUUUAGAACGUCGUGAGACAGUUCGGUCCCUAUCUGCCGUGGGCGCUGGAGAACUGAGGGGGGCUGCUCCUAGUACGAGAGGACCGGAGUGGACGCAUCACUGGUGUUCGGGUUGUCAUGCCAAUGGCACUGCCCGGUAGCUAAAUGCGGAAGAGAUAAGUGCUGAAAGCAUCUAAGCACGAAACUUGCCCCGAGAUGAGUUCUCCCUGACUCCUUGAGAGUCCUGAAGGAACGUUGAAGACGACGACGUUGAUAGGCCGGGUGUGUAAGCGCAGCGAUGCGUUGAGCUAACCGGUACUAAUGAACCGUGAGGCUUAACCUU